rnacentral:pre_miRNA from 1 species
AUGCAUGGUUGCUUAUUGGGUUGCUUAAAUGCUAUUCUGGUGGGCCCAGACUGCCACAUGGGAUUUAAGCAACUCAUAAGCAACCCAUGCAU